ACAAAAACAAGAUACCCUAGAGAGAGCGGGUGGUAUAGGCAACAAGAGAAGAGACCUUCAAAACUUUCUAAUCGGUAUCUCAGAGAAAAGUAGCAUGUAGAAGAGGAGGAGUAGGAGGAACAAAAGUUGGAAGGAGGGACAGAGAGUGGAGGAGGAGGAAGAAGCAACACGGCAUGCUCACCCCAAAACUCAGGCUCCUCUGCUCUUUGAAAUGUACCUUGACUGACGCACCUGGCAAAGGUGUGCUCGCAGACGCCAUCCGUACCCCUGCAAUCGCAUCCCUGGAGAUGCGCCCUAGACCAACUCCCGGAGACGCCAUCCGUACCCCUGCAAUCGCAUCCCUGGAGAUGCAGCCUAGACCAACUCCCGGAGACGCCAUCCGUACCCCUGCAAUCGCAUCCCUGGAGAUGCAGCCUAGACCAACUCCCGGACAAGCAGGCCACGAAUACGCAAGAAGGUGUUUCCUGCAGUACCGUCUGUAAUAACAAACACGGACAAAAUCCAACAUCCAUCAAGGUUCCAGAUGCAGGAAAAUCAGAGGAUAGAGGAAUCAGCUGAGCAGGACUGUAAGGAGACCAUCCAACAAAUCCGGACUGUGGACAUGCAAGGGAAGAGGUCCAGCCACUUCAACAAAUCAGUGUGUUUGGGAGGAAGAGGGGGAGGGGCAAUUAUUCUAGAAAAAGAGGGAUGUUCUUGCCUGGAUCUUGUUUUGAACAAACCAGAUAUGCAAACUAUGUGGGGGACAACUGAGGAAACUUAAAUACAGACUGUGAAAUUAUUCGUUGAGUUAGGUGUGAUAUUGGUAUUGCAGUUAUGUAAGAGAAUGUCAUUUUUAGAAAGGAGCACUCAAGUAUUUAGAGGUGAAGCUUUGGGGUGUAUAAAAUUUAACUUUUAAAUGCUUUAUAAAUAUAUUAAAUACAUAUUAUAUUUAAUAUGUAUAUAUAAGGCUUAUAUAUAAAGCAAAUAUGGGAAAAUAUUAAAAUUAUUCAAUGUAGGUUA